CUUCCUGCUCUCUCAAGUCUGCCCGCCCACUCCAGGGGGCCCACUCACUUGCACCUGACCCUGACCCUUGCCAAGGUCCUGUCCUCGGAAUUUCCAAGUCACAUAAGGCUGGGGGCUGCCCCGGGCCACACAGCGCAAGGUAACAGCCUCCAGUUCCUUCACUUCCAGAACCAAGGGAGGCGUCUCCAGGAGCUGAGGGGGCGCUGGGAGGGAAAGAGGCGUCAGGGGCUGCCAGAAAGGCUAUCAGCCCACAAAGCAGAGAUCCAAAGCCAGGGAGACCUCAUCUCAGGGCUGCAGCCUGCUCAGUGACGAGGAAGAAACAAGGUCCCGGAUGGAAAGUGCUCCGCACGGUUGGCCCCUGAGUGUGUGGAUUCUUUACACCCAGAAGACAAAAAUGGACCUAGCAGGAGCCCAGAUGGAGGGGCCGGAAGGAUGUCCACUGCCCAGCAAUCCCAGAGAGCAUCAGUCGUUCUGAUCCGCCUCAGGCAACCGGUUUCAGCUCUCACUCUUCCAGUUAUUGCCUAGCUCAGGCAACACCCGAGGGAGCUGUUCCAGUCUGGAGAGCCACCAGAUCUAAAUGCAAAAUAUAAGGCAACAUACAGAGUUGGUCAGUGGAGGAGACCAGAAGAAAGCCCUGUUUGAGCAAGGUGUGGGGGAAGAAAGAAAGAAGAGGGUGUAGAGGAAAGGAAGGGACCAGCAGGAGACCAGAGAUCUUUUGGGUAGUACAGGCUGGGGAUCAACUCCGGGGCCUCAUUCCUGCCAAAUUCUACCACAGCUGUGCUCCUAGCUCCCAAACCAGAGAUCCUGAAGCCCUGAGGUUAAAGCUAGGGUAUGAACACUAGAGAACAAGAGAGUGCUGUAGGGCUGAAACUACACCGGUAAGGGAACAGAUCCUAGGAAAAGCAAAGGAAUUCUGGGAAUGCCUGCCAAGUGAUACAAUGUUCUUAGCAAAGUGAGCAAAGAGAACUCACACAGGAGGAAAAGGAUUUAUCAGGGAAGUCCUGGAGAUGAGGACCAUCGUGCCUAGCCUCCUCAUCCUUCUUGCCUUUCUCCUGAUGCCAACAAAGUCACAGAUAACAUGAUAAGACCAUUAUUCACCACCACCACCACCACCACCACCACCACCACCACCAUCCCACGUGGCCAAUAAGGAUCCUAAGGAUCUUGCCUAGAAGCAGACAGCUAGUCUAGAACACAUCUCAGAUAGAAUCUAACCCCUUACCCUGUAGAGAGUGCCCCCACAGAGCACCCACAUCCAAUUCCUCCCCCUACCUCCCAUCCUCUGCGUUAAGCCCUGGAGCCUGGCGACAUUCCCUACCCAGUCAACACGGCUUGCCAUCCCCACCCGCUGAAGAAUGGGAGAUGGGAGAGGGAGGCAGCAUCCUCCAGGCCUGGACAGAUCCAGAGAACCCUCCCUCUGCCAGACACCCGACUUAGAGCCUCACCCUAAUUACUCCCACGCACUCCUCUCUAGUAUCCUGGGGGUGCCAGGGUUUGCCAGGCCCUCCAUUCCCAAACCCUAGAGGCAUGAUCUGAGAGAAACCAAAAAUGCUUUUGAGUCCCUACCAUACACAAAGUGAACCCUGGAGCAUGGGAGGUAGGUACUGCUAACAGUACCAACUCCUCAGUGUCUACGGAAGUCACAAAGGACCAAAGGGCCCUGACCCGGGCCUGGCAAACCCAAGUGGACUCUGCUCCGAAGCCUCCACCCUCUUCUUGGCCUCACACAAUUCAGCACUGUCUGUAAAAUACCCUCCACGGGGCAGUAUCAUUCCUGCCUCUGCAUAACACCCCUUUGCCUGACUCCUGGUAAUGCAUUCCCUUGCCUCCGGCUGCACCCAGCCAGCUCUCCUGGACUUCCCUGGAAAACCUUCGAAUUGUACCAUAUAGAAGCCAUUCUGGCUCUACCAAGAAUCUUGGGACCAAGGCAUCCUCAGAAUGUAUCCUACUUUUCCUGGAAUCUUUCCAACUCCUGUUCCCCAUCCAUCCUCCGGCCAUCCAGCACUCCCAUCCCAGCCGUACACUUUUCAGUGUUUGCAAAAUUCCAAUUCCUCACACCUGAUCUCCAAUUACAGCAGGUCCUCGCUUCAAAGCACCUCUGACUGGCCUCCUCCAGAAUUCCCACUUGCCCUCCCCCUUUUUCCCACCCUGCUCUCCCCGGAAUGCCCCCCCCCCCAAUCCUCCAGGACGCAGCCCACAAUACACUUCUCAUGGUCCAUCACAACAACACUUCUUUUCCCUCGCAUUCUCUGGCUCCUGGAACGCCUUUCUUGUGGAACCCGCCAAGAACUCCCCUAUAUUACCUCUUACACUCUUCCAGAUCUCCGGGAACCCCCACUCACCCACCAGUAAUUCCACUUCGCUCCCAGAACUACCCUGGGUCUGCUCCCCCAGAUGAUUUCACUUCUCUCUAAAGCUCUCCCGCUUCCCCCUGGUCCCCAGAACGCCCCACUGCUCCCCAUGUCCCUGCCAGCGCCCCAUUUCUACGCCCCAGGACACCCCCACCCUCACCUGCUCUGCACCGCACAGCUCUGCUCUCGCAGCUACACAAUAGGGGGCGGACCCGCCUCCCCGCCUCAGAUGCCCCGAGCGCCUCCCGUCGCCCUGGAGACCGCCAAUCCCCCCCCCCCCCUCCCGCGGCGUCCAAUUGGAGCCAACAGAGGCCGGGCAAGGCGAGCGGGACCCCCGAGCCUCCUGGGAGUUGUAGUUUAAGAGACAGAAGGACGCGGUCGCACGUGGGCUCCAGUCGCCCCCUCGUGGAGCUCUGUACUACUAAGCGUGGGCAGGCUGAUCGCCGCUUCCCGCCUCGAGUCAGCUGGGCUACUGGGUCAGACAGACCGGUGCACCAAGAGCCGCAGGAACCUACCCCCUUUGCAGGAUGCUUGCAUGCCCUCCUUCCUUUGUAACUUACCUGUGGCCUUCUCCCCUUCCCGAACAAGCGUGCCACAAAGGAGGCAUCGAAGGUUGAAAUCUGAGCCAGGGGCAGGAGCACCUGGUGGAGAGCACGAUUCCCCGCCCCCUCCCUGGGGAUCCACCCAAGUCCCGGACCCAUCUGAUCGCCUAUCUUCAUCCCCACCCCCACCCAUUUCCUCUCGCUGGACUGGAAAUACCUGUCUGAAUUGGCUAGCUCCCAGCUUUUGCCCAGGCGCCUCCCGUGUGUGUG